AUUUAAAGUACCAUGGAGUGUUAUCUGCUGCGCCGACCCAUAUUUUAUUAGUAGAAUUUUUUUUAUUUUAAAUUUUGACCACUUUUAGAGGUUGCUCAAGUGCCUCAAAAGUCAUAUUUUCGUUUUUUUUACCCUUUUUUAAGUCCAUUUUUUGCACGUUUGAGCAAGUACUAAAACUCAAAAAAAUUAAUUUUUUCUAAGUUAGAAUAAAAAAUUAAAAAUGCAUGGUAAUUUUAUUUUAUUGAAAUAAUUUGUGUAAAUUUAUCUACAAAAACGCUAAGUUAUGCAGAUUUUCACAAGUUGUUGCGCUUCGCGUUAAUUUAAAAAUGUUGCAUAUUUGCUUAAACAUGUUAUGCAAAUUACUUUUUAACAAAAACAAAAUUUAAUUUUGAUUUAAAAAAAAGCCGGGAAAUCAAUAAUGAUUACUUUUAUGAUAUACUUACUCCAUAUACUUAUUAAAGCUUACUACAGAUUUAUUCAUGUCAGAAAAAAAUAAUAAAAAAGUUGACACACAUUUUUUGGUAGGGGAAUCCAGGUCAUCCUUACCAAAAGGCAAGUUUGCUUCAGAGCAAGAAGUUUUGCAAUAUUUCUUGCAUUUGAAGGAAAAGUACCCAAAACAAAAAGAAAGUAGAAUUAUCCACUGUCCAUUGACAUAAAAUCAGCUGAAAUAAUGAAAAAUAUAUUUGCUGUACUCUUUCAAAGUUAAUUACACCUUGGAUGAAGGGUGGAUUUUAGAUUUUACAAUUACAAACAAUUAGGUAAGUACCAGACUUUAUAUGUUUUUCUUUUAUUUAUACUUUAUUGAUUAUUAGAGGAAAAUAUUAAUAUAACUAAUGUCUGCUGUUAAAUAAGUGAAUAAACAGAAAUAGGUGUGUUGUAAAAUAUACAUUUUUUAGUAUAAAGAUAGAGAAGCUGAUCCGAACCUGGAAACUGUUAAAAAAACAAACAAAGCAAGGCAAACUUUAUCAGAGAUUAAAAAAAAGGAGGAGUUUUUUAACUCAGAUGAAAAGGAUCUUUUGGAUUGCAUCUGAGCUCGAUACUUUGGUUGCAAUCAUUAAAGCUGAUUGGAAAUGAAAGGAUCAAGACAAGACUGAAGAUAUUGCAUUUUUAUUGGACCAAUUAGGAGAUAGAAAAACUAGAAUAGGUGGAAUCGAUACAAGGUACCUUAACUCUGUAAACAGGGGUUUAUCCAAAAUUAAAAAGAAAUCAAAUUUGCACGAAACUAUGUCAGAGAGUGAAUUCAGCUCAAAUGGAUCGGAGAAAGAUGAAGAUAAUGAUGAUUUUCCAUACCUAGAUCCAGAGUUAAAGAAAAAAGUCAAAAAAGCUAAUACUUUUAUGCUUCCAAAAGAUAUUCUCAAGAGAACUGCUGAUACUGCUGUUGGGGAAGGAAUAAGUCAUAGGAAGCAUGCUUCCAUAGUUAAUAGUAUAAUCGCUAAAUCGGGUGGAAAUGUAGCUGAUUUUAAAUGUUUAACCUCUACAGCAUUACACGCUGUAAAUAAGGUCAUUCAUGAUGAAUCUAAGAGGGUCAAGGAUGAUUUGAGAAGUUUUAGAAAAAUCAAUAAGAAUAUUUUAGUUCAACUCCAUUUUGAUGGAAAAGUAUGUCAUGAAUAUACUGAUGGGAAAAAAUUGGAACAAGAUCGAUUAGCAAUAUUAAUAAACGGUAACAAGGAAACGCACCUGUUGGGAAUUCUACCAAUUUCUUCUGGAACUGGCGAAAAUAAAAAAAAUGCAAUCAGAGAUAUCUUAAAUAGCUUUAACCUUACAGGCAAUAUACAAGCUGUUACAUUUGAUACCAGAAUCAACACUGGAAACAAAAAUGGGGCUGUGUCUUCACUGGUAAAUGAAGUCUUUCAACGACAAGUUCUAUCUAUUGCAUCCCGACAUCAUGUCAAUGAGCUGCACAUAACACAUUUCUGGAAAAAUAUCAAAGUAGCAUUACUUCUGGACCAGAUAAUCUGCUGUUUAAAACUUUAAAAUCAGCAUGCAAUGAUCUUGACGCAGACAACCAGGUUUUGAAAAAAUUGACUAUUCCAGAGGAACAUGGCUUGGUCAUGAAAAGCAUGAAAGCAUAAUGUUCUGCAGAAAUAUUAUCACCAGUGGGUCUCUAAAAAAGGAUGGGGCUACAAGGAAGGACUACAUUGAGCUGGCAGAGCUUACACUUAUGGUGCUUUCUGAGGACAGGUAUCUACUACCUAAAACUCCAACUUAUGAUGGAUGCUAUACCUAAUCUGGAAAAACGGCUGAAGCAUGAAAUUACUGAAGUGGUAACUUUUGUCUCUGUUUUCUUUACUACCUGGUUUCUCAAAGCUGAACUAUCAAGGAUAUGAAAGCACUUUGGCAAAUGAAUAGGUUUAAGGAGUACAAUUUGAUUGGGGCAGAAUCAGUCAUUGAAUCUCUCAAACGCCACACAUGGUUUCUGGACCCUUACCUUAUUGUACUAGCCCUAGCUGAUGAAAAAUGUAAAGAAAGAGGUGAUAUUGCUCAAAAACUAUACAGCUAUGAAUUUCAUAGUAUGGAUGAAUAUCCUUAAGCCCGAAUAAGUGCUAACAUAGAGGUCCUCAAUUCUUUAUACUUCAGUGGAUCGAAGCCUCCCAGCUUAGUUCAUUUGGUAAAAUUAACUGUCAAUGGAUGAAAACCCCUCCAGAAUAUUGGACUUGCAACAAUUUCUACUUAAAAUUUCAGGAGGCAGUUUUUAAUCUUUCAGUUGUUAAUGAUUGCUCUGAAAGAACCGUUAAACUCAUAAAAGACAAAAUUGAUAUUGCCCGAAAA
rnacentral:lncRNA from 1 species